rnacentral:rRNA from 1 species
UACGUAGGUGGCAAGCGUUUGUCCGGAUUUAUUGGGUUUAAAGGGUGCGUAGGCGGCUUAUUAAGUCAGUGGUGAAAUACUCUAGCUCAACUAGAGGGGUGCCAUUGAUACUGAUGAGCUUGAGUACAGAUGAGGUAGGCGGAAUUGACGGUGUAGCGGUGAAAUGCUUAGAUAUCGUCAAGAACACCUAUAGCGAAGGCAGUUUACUAGGCUGUAACUGACGCUGAGGCACGAAAGUGUGGGGAUCAAACAGG